GAAGUGUCUUCAAGGCGGAGAGGCGCUGCCCAAGUUGCUUGGAAGAGCACACCGCAGAGGGUGACAGUCCCGUACGCGGCAGCGAAUACCGUCGACGAUGCACUUUCCACGAGUCGGGUUGCUUGGGAAUGCAGCCCAAAAUGGGAGGUAGACUCCUUCUAAAGCUAAAUAUUGACACGAGACCGAUAGCGAACAAGUACCGUGAGGGAAAGAUGAAAAGCACUUUGAAAAGAAAGUCAAAAGUACGUGAAACCGUCAGUGGGGAAGCGCAUGGAAUUAGCAGUGUCUCGGAGAGAUUCAGGUCGCCGAGGGGGUCGGGUUGGCGCACGGAUCCGAUGGACCGUGCCGUCGGCCCGGACCCCGUAGGCGGCUGCACUUCUCUCCGCGACGAGUCAACAAAUGUUGGGCGAGAGGCAGACCCUAUUCUUGAAGGUGGCCGGCCUUGGUCGGUGUUAUAGCUAGAUGACGGCAUCUCUGGCCCGACAUGGGCGAGCGGAGCAUUCCCCUCGGGGAUGGCCUUCGGGCACAAAUGCUUCCACGGUUGUUGGCGGUCAAAUGAUUUCAUACGACCCGUCUUGAAACACGGACCAAGGAGUCUAACAUGUGUGCGAGUCUUCGAGUGAUCGAAACUCACAGGCGCAAUGAAAGUGAUAUGUACUACGGUGAGAUCUCGGUGAUUGAAAUGCACCCGGCGCAUCAUCGACCGACCUACCUAUCUCGCGAUACAGGUUUGAGUAAGAGCACACGUGCUGGGACCCGAAAGAUGGUGAACUAUGCUUGAGUAGGGUGAAGCCAGAAGAAAUUCUGGUGGAGGCUCGUAGCGAUUCUGACGUGCAAAUCGAUCGUCAAACUUGUGCAUAGGGGCGAAAGACUAAUCGAACCAUUUAGUAGCUGGUUCCCUCCGAAGUUUCCCUUAGGAUAGCUGGAGUUCGGAGUAACAGUUUCAUCCGGUAAAGCGAAUGAUUAGAGGUAUCAGGGAUGAAACAUUUUUGACCUAUUCUCAAACUUUCAAUGGGUGAGAAGUCCCGCCUGCCUGACGGAGGCGCGGACAGUGAAUGAAGGAGCUCCGAGUGGGCCAUUUUUGGUAAGCAGAACUGGCGAUGCGGGAUGAACCGAACGCGCGAGUUAAGGUGCCUAAAUCGACGCUCAUCAGACCCCACAAAAGGUGUUGGUUGAUCUUGACAGCAGGACGGUGGCCAUGGAAGUCGGAAUCCGCUAAGGAGUGUGUAACAACCCACCUGCCGAAUCAACUAGCCCUGAAAAUGGAUGGCGCUCAAGCGUCGUACCUAUACUCGGCCCACACUGCGACCCUGAGUAGCAGUCAGUGUGGAGUAGGAGGGCGUGGAGGUUGUGCCGAAGCGCUUGGCGUGAGCCUGCGUGGAACGGCCUCUAGUGCAGAUCUUGGUGGUAGUAGCAAAUAUUCAAACGAGAACUUUGAAGGCCGAAGUGGAGAAAGGUUCCGUGUGAACAGCACUUGGACACGGGUUAGUCGAUCCUAAGGAUCAAGUUAACUCUGACGUGUAAGCGUGCACUCCGUGUGCACCCGAGCCGAAAGGGAAUCAGGUUAACAUUCCUGAACCAGAACGCGGAUAUCUGCGUGCGGUGUCAAAGCCGAGCGCAGUGUUACGGCAACGUAAGCGAACCCGGAGACGCUCUCGGGGACCCCGGGGAGAGUUCUCUUUUCUUGUUAACAGCCCGCCGGCACCGUGGAAGUUGCUUGCCAAGAGAUACGGUCCGCGCGGCUGGUAAAGCCCUACAUGUGCCGUAGGGUCCGGUGCGUUCCCGAAGGCCCUUGAAAAUCCGGGGGAGAGAAUGAUUUUCGCGUCUGUUCGUACUCAUAACCGCAGCAGGUCUCCAAGGUGAGCAGCCUCUGGCCCAUAGAACAAUGUAGGUAAGGGAAGUCGGCAAAACGGAUCCGUAACUUCGGGAAAAGGAUUGGCUCUAAGGGUCGAGCCGGUCGGGCUGCGCCCGGCGGUCGGGGCUCGUUGGGACGGACUGCCAGUGCUCACGCGCCGGUGGACCGACCCUCUGACCCUGUCCAACGGACGUAGCUUGCGUGCCCCGCGAGGGUGUCUCGCAGCAGACCGACAAUGAACGACCGACUUAGAACUGGUACGGACAAGGGGAAUCCGACUGUUUAAUUAAAACAAAGCAUUGCGACGGUUGGAAAGCAAUGUUGACGCAAUGUGAUUUCUGCCCAGUGCUCUGAAUGUCAAAGUGAAGAAAUUCAUCCAAGCGCGGGUAAACGGCGGGAGUAAGUAUGACUCUCUUAAGGUAGCCAAAUGCCUCGUCAUUUAUUUAGUGACGCGCAUGAAUGGAUUAACGAGAUUCCCACUGUCCCUAUUUCCUAUCUAGCGAAACGACAGCCAAGGGAACGGGCUUGGCAAAAUCAGCGGGGAAAGAAGACCCAGUUGAGCUUGACUCUAGUCUGACUCUGUGAAGGGACAUAGGAGGUGUAGCAUAGGUGGGAGUGCGCAAGUACGCAAGUGAAAUACCACUACUCUUAUAGUUCCU
rnacentral:rRNA from 1 species